AAGUCGUAACAAGGUUUCCGUAGGUGAACCUGCGGAAGGAUCAUUGCUAAACGAAUCCCUUGCGGAUUUAACGAUCCAUAUAAACCCACUUGUGCACUGUUGUAGUGAUUGUCACUCUUUUUGGGCGGACAAGGUUUAACCAUUGGGUUAAAGAAAAUAGGGAAGUUUUCAGUUUGAGAACCUCCAGAUUCCCCACUCCAAUGUCUAAGACCCCGCCCAGAGGUGACUUCAGUCAAACUCUUGUUUUUAAUCAAUGUCUGAAGUUAUCCGGUCUUUUUGAUCAGAGUUUGUUUAACAAAAUACAACUUUCAACAAUGGAUCUCUUGGCUCUCGCAACGAUGAAGAACGCAGCGAAAUGCGAUACGUAAUGUGAAUUGCGGAAUCCCGUGAAUCAUCAAAUUUUCGAACGCACAUUGCGCUCUUGGGUAUUCCUGAGAGCAUGCCUGUUUGAGUGUCAGUAUCAAAUCUCAAACCUUUGGGUUCGGAUGUGGACCUUUUUCUCAGGUUUCUCGGAACCUGAGUGGUCUUAAAUAUAUAGGAGAAUUAGCAAUAUUCCCGCUUGAAGGCGUGAUAAUGGUGUCUAACAUCUUUUAUUCGUCGAUUCCGGUGAAUCGCUAAGUUUUUCUCCGUAAUCGCCUUACGGCAACCAAGGUGCGAACCUUGAAACUUGACCUCAAAUCAAGCAAGACUACCCGCUGAACUUAA
rnacentral:rRNA from 1 species